AGUGAACGCUGGCGGUAGGCCUAACACGUGCAAGUCGAACGGCAGCACAGUAAGAGCUUGCUCUUACGGGUGGCGGGUGGCGGACGGGUGAGGAAUACAUCGGAAUCUACUUUUUCGGGGGGGAUAACGUAGGGAAACUUACGCUAAUACCGCAUACGACCUACGGGGGAAAGCAGGGGAUCUUCGGACCUGGCGCGAUUGGAUGAGCCGAUGUUGGAUUUGCUAGUUGGCGGGGUAAAGGCCCACCAAGGCGACGAUCCGUAGCUGGUCUGAGAGGAUGAUCAGCCACACUGGAACUGAGACACGCUCCAGACUCCUACGGGAGGCAGCAGUGGGGAAUAUUGGACAAUGGGCGGAAGCCUGAUCCAGCGAUACCGCGUGGGUGAAGACAGCCUUCGGGUUGUAAAGCCCUUUUGUUGGGAAAGAAAAGCAGCAGGUUAAUACCACGCUGUUCUGACGGUACCCAAAGAAUAAGCACCGGCUAACUUCGUG
rnacentral:rRNA from 1 species